rnacentral:lncRNA from 1 species
GUUGUCGAUGUAGAGAUAAAAAUUCUUGUACACCCAUCUGCAUGUUUAUAGAUAUUUUGUGGGAUAUACUAAUGAUUGAGAUAAGUAAGAUGCAAGGAUUCUUUUAUGAUGGUUUCUGUACUAAAUUUUGUUUUGAUCAUAUAUGUUUGUGAUUGAUAGUAUGAUGAAUGCAUAUAUGAGUAUAACUUAUAUUUACAUAAUCGGAAUAAUGAAUGUGGUGCUUUGGACUAACCAUAUUAUAUAGAUUG